rnacentral:rRNA from 1 species
UACGUAGGGGGCUAGCGUUGUCCGGAAUCAUUGGGCGUAAAGAGCUCGUAGGCGGUUCGAUAAGUCGGGUGUGAAACCUCCAGGCUCAACCUGGAGACGCCACCCGAUACUGUCGUGACUAGAGUCCAGUAGGGGAGCGUGGAAUUCCUGGUGUAGCGGUGAAAUGCGUAGAUAUUCGGAGGAACACCGGUGGCGAAGGCGGCUUCCUGGACCGGUUCUGACGCUCAAAAGCGAAAGCUAGGGUAGCAAACAGG